AACGUAGGAGACAAACGUUAUCCGGAGUUACUGGGCGUAAAGGGCGUGUAGGCGGCUUUGUAAGUCUGGCGUGAAAUUUUUCGGCUUAACCGGGAAAGGUCGUCGGAUACUGCGGGACUAGAGGACGGUAGAGGCGUGUGGAAUUCCGGGUGUAGUGGUGAAAUGCGUAGAGAUCCGGAGGAACACCAGUGGCGAAGGCGACACGCUGGGCCGUACCUGACACUGAUGCGCGACAGCAUGGGGAGCAAACAGG
rnacentral:rRNA from 1 species